rnacentral:rRNA from 1 species
UGAACGCUGGCGGCGUGCCUAACACAUGCAAGUCGAACGAAGCACUUUGGUUUGAGAUUCGUCAAGAACCGGAUUUGACUUAGUGGCGGACGGGUGAGUAAUGUAUGAGCAACCUGCCUUUCAGAGGGGGACAACAGUUGGAAACGACUGCUAAUACCGCAUAAUGUACAUUGAAGGCAUCUUUGAUGUACCAAAGGAGCAAUCCGCUGAAAGAUGGGCUCAUAUCUGAUUAGUUAGUUGGCAGGGUAACGGCCUACCAAGACUGCGAUCAGUAGCCGGACUGAGAGGUUGAACGGCCACAUUGGGACUGAGAUACGGCCCAGACUCCUACGGGAGGCAGCAGUGGGGAAUAUUGGGCAAUGGGCGAAAGCCUGACCCAAGCAACGCCGCGUGAAGGAAGAAGGUCUUCGGAUUGUAAACUUCUUUUAUGAGGGACGAAGGACGUGACGGUACCUCAUGAAUAAGCCACGGCUAACUACGUGCCAGCAGCAGC